rnacentral:rRNA from 1 species
GAUGAACGCUGGCGGCGUGCCUAAUACAUGCAAGUCGAGCGAACAGACGAGGAGCUUGCUCCUCUGAUGUUAGCGGCGGACGGGUGAGUAACACGUGGAUAACCUACCUAUAAGACUGGGAUAACUUCGGGAAACCGGAGCUAAUACCGGAUAACAUGUUGAACCGCAUGGUUCAACAGUGAAAGACGGUCUUGCUGUCACUUAUAGAUGGAUCCGCGCCGCAUUAGCUAGUUGGUAAGGUAACGGCUUACCAAGGCAACGAUGCGUAGCCGACCUGAGAGGGUGAUCGGCCACACUGGAACUGAGACACGGUCCAGACUCCUACGGGAGGCAGCAGUAGGGAAUCUUCCGCAAUGGGCGAAAGCCUGACGGAGCAACGCCGCGUGAGUGAAGAAGGUCUUCGGAUCGUAAAACUCUGUUAUUAGGGAAGAACAAAUGUGUAAGUAACUAUGCACGUCUUGACGGUACCUAAUCAGAAAGCCACGGCUAACUACGUA